UUCGGAAUGAAACCAGAUAUGACUUAGUGGCGGACGGGUGAGUAACGCGUAGGCAACCUGCCUUUCAGAGGGGGAUAACGGCUGGAAACGGUCGCUAAUACCGCAUGACGUGUUCGGAUGGCAUCAUCUGAACAUCAAAGAUUUAUCGCUGAAAGAUGGGCUCGCGUCUGAUUAGAUAGUUGGUGGGGUAACGGCCUACCAAGUCUACGAUCAGUAGCCGGACUGAGAGGUCGAACGGCCACAUUGGGACUGAGACACGGUCCAAACUCC
rnacentral:rRNA from 1 species